rnacentral:ncRNA from 1 species
UAGAGGGACAAGCGGCUCCUAGCCGCACGAAACAAAGCAAUAACAGGUCUGUGAUGCCUUAGAUGUCCGGGGCCGCACGCGCGCUACACUGAAGGAAGCAGCGUGUUUUUAUCCCUGUCUGUAAAGACUGGGUAACCCGUGGAACCUCCUUCGUGAUUGGGAUAGGGGCUUGCAAUUGUUCACCUUGAACGAGGAAUUCCCAGUAAGCGCGAGUCAUAAGCUCGCGUUGAUUACGUCCCUGCCCUUUGUACACACCGCCCGUCGCUACUACCGAUUGAAUGAUUUAGUGAGGUCUUCGGACCGAUACCCGGAGCGGCCUUUCGGUUGCGCCGGUGUGUUGGAAAGAUGACCAAACUUGAUCAUUUAGAGGAAGUAAAAGUCGUAACAAGGUUUCCGUAGGUGAACCUGCGGAAGGAUCAUUA